AACAAGGUUUCCGUAGGUGAACCUGCGGAAGGAUCAUUAAAGAAAGGAUCGAGUUUGCAGUGUCCGCCACUGCAAGCUCUCUCCGAAACCCCAACCCUUGAUCACUGUACCUUUGUUGCCUCGGCGGGUUCGCCCGCCGGUGGAUGCAAUCAAACUACUGUUUAACUGUGUAGUCUGAGCGAUCAUAGCAAUAGUCAAAACUUUCAACAACGGAUCUCUUGGUUCUGGCAUCGAUGAAGAACGCAGCGAAAUGCGAUAAGUAGUGUGAAUUGCAGAAUUCAGUGAAUCAUCGAAUCUUUGAACGCACAUUGCGCCCUUUGGCAUCCCGAAGGGCAUGCCUGUUCGAGCGUCAUUUCACCAAUCAAGCCUGGCUUGGUAUUGGGACCCGUCCACCUAUCGAGGUGAGCGCUCCCCAAAAGCAUUGGCAGUAUGGUGCCGGCUUCGAGCGUAGCAGAAAUCUCGCUCCAUGGGCCUGGCACUGUAGUGGCCGCGAGUUAUACCCAAGGUGACCUCGAUCAGU
rnacentral:rRNA from 1 species